rnacentral:misc_RNA from 1 species
GUAGGUGAACCUGCGGAAGGAUCAUUAACACUUUUUCUCUAAAAAAUGACAUUCUCUCUUUAUCGAAGAAUGUUAUACCCCACUUUAGCGAACUUUGUUUUCAAACCUUUCUACGAAAAAAAUUUAACUUUUCAAGGGUUUUGGGGGGGAAGAUGGCUGGCUUUGUCAGCUGUUUUUCUUUCCCGUCUCUUCUUGGCUUGUUAUUCUUUUUUUUCGUAUUUUUCUUUUUUUCACCCAAAUGAACAAUUUU